UACGAAGGGGGCUAGCGUUGCUCGGAAUCACUGGGCGUAAAGCGCACGUAGGCGGCUCUUUAAGUCAGAGGUGAAAUCCUGGGGCUCAACCCCAGAACUGCCUUUGAUACUGAGGAGCUUGAGUCCGGGAGAGGUGAGUGGAACUGCGAGUGUAGAGGUGAAAUUCGUAGAUAUUAGGAAGAACACCAGUGGCGAAGGCGGCUCACUGGUCCGGUACUGACGCUGAGGUGCGAAAAGCGUGGGGAGCAACAGGG
rnacentral:rRNA from 1 species